GACGGAAGGUGCAAGCGUUGCUCGGAAUCACUGGGCGUAAAGGGUGCGUAGGCGGCUUGGUGGGUCUGGUGUGAAAGCCCCGGGCUCAGCCCCGGGAAGGGCACUAGAAACUGCCGAGCUGGAGUGCCGGAGGGGAGAGUGGAAUUCCUGGUGUAGGCGGUGAAAUGCGUAGAUAUCAGGAGGAAUACCGGUGGCGAAAGCGACUCUCUGGAACGGCAACUGACGCUGAGGCACGAAAGCGUGGGGAGCAAACAGGA
rnacentral:rRNA from 1 species